AGUCGAGGGGUAUAAGUCUUCGGAUUUAGAGACCGGCGCACGGGUGCGUAACGCGUAUGCAAUCUACCUUUUACAGAGGGAUAGCCCAGAGAAAUUUGGAUUAAUACCUCAUAGUAUUAUAGAAUGGCAUCAUUUUAUAAUUAAAGUCACAACGGUAAAAGAUGAGCAUGCGUCCCAUUAGCUAGUUGGUAAGGUAACGGCUUACCAAGGCUACGAUGGGUAGGGGUCCUGAGAGGGAGAUCCCCCACACUGGUACUGAGACACGGACCAGACUCCUACGGGAGGCAGCAGUGAGGAAUAUUGGACAAUGGGCGCAAGCCUGAUCCAGCCAUGCCGCGUGCAGGAUGACGGUCCUAUGGAUUGUAAACUGCUUUUAUACGAGAAGAAACACUCCGACGUGUCGGAGCUUGACGGUAUCGUAAGAAUAAGGAUCGGCUAACUCCGUGCCAGCAGCCGCGGUAAUACGGAGGAUCCAAGCGUUAUCCGGAAUCAUUGGGUUUAAAGGGUCCGUAGGCGGUUUAAUAAGUCAGUGGUGAAAGCCCAUCGCUCAACGGUGGAACGGCCAUUGAUACUGUUAGACUUGAAUUAUUAGGAAGUAACUAGAAUAUGUAGUGUAGCGGUGAAAUGCUUAGAGAUUACAUGGAAUACCAAUUGCGAAGGCAGGUUACUACUAAUUGAUUGACGCUGAUGGACAAAAGCGUGGGUAGCGA
rnacentral:rRNA from 1 species